CAGCAGUAAAAGAUGCCGACAUGCUUGGUGGCAACACCGGGCAGGGAGAAAUCUUAGAGUUCGGGCUCUGGGGAUAGUAUGCUCGCAAGGGUGAAAAUUAAAGAAAUUGACGGAGCUACACCACAAG
rnacentral:rRNA from 1 species